CUUUCAGAAAAGAACGACACUGAAGUCAUUCUUAAAGAAGGAAGAUGUGUUCGGAGGUUUGCCGACCCGACACG